rnacentral:lncRNA from 1 species
UAAUUUAUUUUCUGCCAUAGCAUUAAAACUUGAAAACUAUUCCUGUCUGUCAUGGUUGUUAGAUUCAAGAAAGAAGGCAGAACUUGACUGGGGCAAACGAUUUCAAAUAAUUCAGGGGAUUGCAAGGGGGCUGCUCUACCUCCAUCGAGAUUCUUGCCUUAGGGUCAUACAUCGAGACUUGAAAGUAAGCAACAUUCUCUUGGAUGAAAAGAUGAACCCGAAAAUUUCAGAUUUUGGGCUAGCACGAAUGUUUGAGGGCACUCAAGUUUUGGUGAACAGUCAAAAAAUUGUUGGAACACUGUAAGCUCUCUAGGCCUAUUUGAAUUAUCAAUUCAUUGAGUCAAUCUCUUCAAGCAGACAAAAAUGAUUGAUUUACCACAAUGAACAUCUCUGUUCAUGCAUGUUUUAUCCCCAUUGUCUAUUGAUACAAUCAAAGAGUAGAUAACAUGUUUAACUUAACUGCAGUGGUUAUAUGUCUCCUGAGUAUGCCAUGGGUAGAAUAUUUUCCGAGAGGUCUGAUGUCUAUAGCUUCGGAGUGUUGCUAUUGGAGAUAGUAAGCGGCAAAAAGAACACGUCCCUGUAUGACCAGGGAUAUCUGAAUCUUCUUUCCUACGUAAGUCCCAAAUUGCAAACUUAAUCAAUAUCGUAAGUUUGCUGCAAUAUUCUGACAGUGUUCUCACUUACAGGCAUGGCAAUUGUGGAGUGAUGGCAAAGCAUUGGACCUAAUGGAUGUAGCAAUGGUUGUUAGCUCUCCUUUGGAGAUAACAAGAUGCAUCCAUGUUGGGCUUCUCUGUGUUCAGGACCAUGCCACGGAUAGACCAAACAUGUCGAAUGUGGUUUUGAUGUUAAGUGGUGAGUCAAAUCUUCCUCAGCCGAGGCAGCCUAUGUUCACUUUCCAAUCUGAAAUGCCAAAUCGUUCUAUUCCAUUACAGCAAGAAAGCAUCUGGUCUGUUAACACUAUCACUAAUACAAUGGUCGAAGGAAGAUGACGACCAUUUAUAUUCAUUUUUAUUUUCCCUUUUUUGGAGAUGACUUUGUUGUUAUUUUUUAAGAUUUUAGUGUUAAUUCAAUUCAAGGAUGGCUUUAGUCCACUCUGAACAAAGGGUCGAAUGGGCUGCUCCACUUUAUACAUUGAUUUUAGGCUGCAAAUUAGGGGUUUAGAAUGUACACUUUUUUGACAGAACAUAAUCGACGCAACAAUUUGUUCUAAUUUACAGUAGCCGGAACUGUUGUUAUAAUUAAGGAGAACUACCAUGUAAUUGUCAUCACUCUCAUCACCAGUUGCAUUUUGAAGAUUCGAUUUCCUAGGUUUUUGGACGAAAGAUAUCAUUACCAAAGACUAAAGUCCCCCCAAGAGAAGCAUGAGCAUUGGCACAGGACAAAGUAUUUCCAGCUUCAGUAUGAUUCCCAGAUAUGAUUUACCUUCUUCAGAUUUGAUAAGAAGUCAUCUAUGCCCGCGGCAAUUAAAUGUCAGUUAGUGAUCAAGUCAAUGACUGAACAAUUCAAUUUGGAUAAGCUUCGCAUUUAAAUGGAAGGGUAAUGUCAGCUAGUGAUCAAAAUCGGAGCUAUGUGAUCCUUAAACUGAAGAGCUGAAGAGUUCCUGGUUUGCUUGGAAUCCAUAUAAUAUCUAGCUUCAUUGAACAUUAAACUUGUGGGGAAAAUUACCUUAUUAAUCCUAAACCUACUGUAGAAAUGCGAAUUCAUUCCUAAUUUUUUUUUUAAAAUUUUGCUAAUUUAGUCCCUGUGCAAAAUUCUAAUGUAGUCAUUAUGGACAAUUUUUAUUGAAAAUCACUGGCGACGGUAAUGACUAGAUUAUUACGUUAGUGAUUUUUAGCAAAAAUUAGCCGGAAAGACAACGUAUUUUUCGCAAAGGUUAAAUUGGCAAAAUUGAAAUUUUUUAGAUAGAAUCGACAAUUGUGUAACAAAUUUAGGAUUAAUUGGACUAUUUCCGCAAAGCGCAUUGACAAAACAUUUGGCCAACAAGUUUCAUCCCAAGCCGCUUUGACCCCUUCAUGGCAUGCUUCGUGAGCAAAUCGCACAACUCGAGCCACAGCCUAUGCUUGGUCUUCCCCUUAAUCGAGAAAAACCGAUCGUCAUUCAGCACCGACGCCAACCUCUCCGCGGCCUCUUGCCACAGCUUCGAAUUAUGUUGGAAGAUAUGAUUCUAUAAUUUUGUAUGAUAAGCAAUCAAGUUUAUUUUAGGAUUAGAAAGAUAGGAAAAGAUAAGAGAAUAUUUCUUUUCCUUUAUUAAUUCUUUCUUUGUAAUUAAAUACAUGAUACUGUACAUAAAUUACAAGUCAAUUGAAUAAAGAAACGACUUCUUCUUCUUCAUCAUCGGUUCCUCACGAAUCCAGUAGAUACACUACUUUGCUGCAUCUCCUUUUGUGACAUGGUAUCAGAGUCGUCUGUGGUUCUGAAUUGACUUUUGCUUCCGCUUCGACUACCUCGCAAAGGAACUCCAAAUUCCAGAGAAGUGUUGCUGUAGGAAUCAUUCUUUUUUGAUUGCCUAAUUGAGGAACCAAAUCUGCAGAAAGAGUUACCGGAGGAAUCAGUUUUUUUCAAUAUGACAAAGCUGCAAGACCCUACCUCAACUCCAGUCGACCAAUUUGCACCAGGAGCAUCGCUGCAAGCCAAAGGAGACCAAGACUCAUCCACUGUAAUUCCUGCAUCAGAACAAUAGGAACAACAGAUCCAGACUCAAGUGCAACACGCGCAAUGGCAACAACAGGCUCAGGCUAAUCCGGGGCAACUUUUCGCGGGCUACCCUUACCAAUGGAUGCCGUAUCCAUGGUUCCAUGGGCCGAUCCCCAAUGCAUCAUCGCUUGGCUACCAAAGCAGCGUGCGAGCCGAUGGAGGUCUACCAACUGGUGAAGGGGCAAAUCCAACCACCGGCCCAGAGCAGACGGGCGGAGCAACUGGACUGGGUAUGGGAACGAAUCCCUACCCGGGUUUUCACAAUGCGGGUCACAGAUUUGGGUUGAGCGGUCCGGGUCAGGGAACAAAUCUCUACCCGAACCCUACACCCAAUUUUUUUCCAUAUCAGAUCCUUGUUGCCAGUGGUCGGCCGAAACCCGGCGAUCCUCUUCACACAACAAAUGGCAACAGACCAGAGUUAAAAAUCAUCAGUCAGCAAUUAACGGGUGCUGACAACUAUUCGAGUUGGUCGCGCGAAUUCCGGCGGGCACUAGUAACAAAGGACAAAGAGGUUUUCAUCGAAGGAAUGUUCCCGACUCCAUUCGACGAGCGAAUAGCACGGCUUUGGAGGCGAUGCAACCAGUUAGUCAGAACCUGGAUUGGCAACUGCAUCAGACCGGAAGUGGCGGCCGUGCUUCCCUGACGGAGGAUUUGAAGAAAAUGUGGGAAAAUAUACAAGAGAUGUUUGGAAAACUUGAUCAGGUUAAAAUUUUCUCACUUACCCAAUAGAUUUCAGAUCUGAAACAGGGAAAUAUGACUAUCGCGACGGUAUUCAACAAACUUUCGGCGCUGUGGAACGAAUUGGAAGCAGCCGAAGAAAAGUUCGACUAGCCCGAUUACGUCCAGCAACAGUACAAGAAAAUGCAAGAAAGAGAGAAGACGACGAGGUUUCUCCUCAUCCUCAAUGAAACGUACCUGGAGUUCCAAUCUCAAGUACUCACCGUGGAGCCCAUGCCAAGUCUCAGCCAAAUCUAUCAACUCGCCAUACAGGAGGAAAGCCAACAAAGAUCGGUGGACCAUGGCAAGGGAGGAGACGGAAUCGCUCUAAUGGCAAGGAGCCAAAUCCACCACUCGAAGAACACGGGGAGAGGGAGAGAGGUGGAUCUAGGGUUAAGCGAAAACCCUAGAUCGUUUAUAAAGAAGUCGACGGACGGUGCAGAUUGUUUCCAGCAAUCGGACGGCCAUCAUCUCUUCCUGGGAGCGACAAGAUCUGACGGUCCGCAUGGCUUCAACUUUGCUGGAUCGGACGGCUCAUGAUCAGUGCACUUCCAUGGGCCAGAUGGGCCUAUUUCGCGUGGCAAUUUCUUUGCCGGAUCAGAUGGUUCGUAUGGGCCUAUUUCGGCCCAAGCUCUUCAGCCCACAACCAGGCCUUCAUUCGGUGCAAAAAUUAAUGGGCCAAAAGGGAAAGGUAAAAUGUAUUGUGAUUAUUGUAAACGACCGCAUCAUACAAUUGAAAACUGCUGGAAAUUGCAUGGAAAACCAGGAGAAAAAGAAAAAGGAAAAUUUUCCUCAGUCUUUCAGGUGUUGGGUCAACCCAUGGGAAAAUCAAUUACCCAUGAGCAAUAUCACGAGCUGGUGGAAGCAUUGAAGAAAUUGGAUGCUACAAAUAAGGGUGGAAGUUUCACAGGUGCGUCAUAUUGUCUAAUGAAUUCAAUAUCGAAAAGUGCAUGGAUUAUUGAUUCGGGUGCUAGUGACCACAUAGUCUGUGAUAAAACUUUCAUUUCCGAUAUUACUAAGCUGUCUUUCCCAACAUCAAUACAACUUCCGAAUGGACAUGCCACUAGGGUCACCAUGACUGGCACUGUGAACCUUAGUUCCCUCAUCACCUUUCGAAAUGUGCUUUAUGUUCCUAAUUUCCAAUUCAAUCUAAUCUCAGUUGCCCGAGCUUGUGAAGAAAAUUCAUGUCAAAUCCUUUUCCAGUUUGAUAAAUGCUUCUUUCAGGCCCCUUCGACUAGCAAACUGAUGGGCUUGGGUAGAGUAAAUCAAGGAUUGUAUUUUUGGAUGGAAUUUCCACAUUCUCUUAGAUUAUCUCCUGUUGAAUCAUUGUGUAAUGCUACUACCAGCGAUAUGAAUUUUCUUAAUCAUGAAAGAUUAGGUCACAGUGCAUCCUUUCCUUGUCCUGAAUGUCCCAUUUGUCCCUUGGCAAAACAAACACGUAAUCCUUUCCAAGAUAGCACUUCUCGAGCAAAUGACAUUUUUUCCUUGAUUCAUGCUGAUGUUUGGGGGCCUUAUCACACCUUGAAUCAUGACGGGUCUCGAUUUUUCCUUACUAAUUACUCUAUUUCAUCCAAAUACUAUGUAUAAUA